rnacentral:rRNA from 1 species
AUUGAACGCUGGCGGCAGGCCUAACACAUGCAAGUCGAACGAGUGGCGGACGGGUGAGUAAUGUCUGGGAAACUGCCUGAUGGAGGGGGAUAACUACUGGAAACGGUAGCUAAUACCGCAUACCAUCAGAUGUGCCCAGAUGGGAUUAGCGUGUUGGGGGGGAAACGGCUCACCAAGGCGACGAUCCCUAGCUGGUCUGGGAGGAGGACCAGCAACACUGGAACUAGGACACGCACCAAGCUCCGACGGGGGGCAGCAGGGGGGAAGAUUGCACAAUGGGCGAAAGCCUGAUGCAGCCAUGCCGCGUGUAUGAAGAAGGCCUUCGGGUUGUAAAGUACGUUCAGCGGGGAGGCGUUACCCGCAGAAGAAGCACCGGCUAACUCCGUGCCAGCAGCCGCGGUAAUAC